rnacentral:rRNA from 1 species
UACAGAGGUGGCAAGCGUUGUUCGGAAUUACUGGGCGUAAAGGGCGCGUAGGCGGCCAUCUAAGUCAGACGUGAAAUCCCCCGGCUUAACCUGGGAACUGCGUCUGAUACUGGACGGCUUGAGUAUGGGAGAGGGAUGUAGAAUUCCAGGUGUAGCGGUGAAAUGCGUAGAUAUCUGGAGGAACACCGGUGGCGAAGGCGGCAUCCUGGACCGACACUGACACUGAGGAGCGAAAGCCAGGGGAGCAAACGGG